rnacentral:rRNA from 1 species
GACGAACGCUGGCGGCGUGCCUAAUACAUGCAAGUCGAACGCUGAAGGAGGAGCUUGCUUCUCUGGAUGAGUUGCGAACGGGUGAGUAACGCGUAGGUAACCUGCCUGGUAGCGGGGGAUAACUAUUGGAAACGAUAGCUAAUACCGCAUAAGAGUAGAUGUUGCAUGACAUUUGCUUAAAAGGUGCAAUUGCAUCACUACCAGAUGGACCUGCGUUGUAUUAGCUAGUUGGUGGGGUAACGGCUUACCAAGGCGACGAUACAUAGCCGACCUGAGAGGGUGAUCGGCCACACUGGGACUGAGACACGGCCCAGACUCCUACGGGAGGCAGCAGUAGGGAAUCUUCGGCAAUGGACGGAAGUCUGACCGAGCAACGCCGCGUGAGUGAAGAAGGUUUUCGGAUCGUAAAGCUCUGUUGUAAGAGAAGAACGAGUGUGAGAGUGGAAAGUUCACACUGUGACGGUAUCUUACCAGAAAGGGACGGCUAACUACGG